AGAAUUGAUCUGGUCAGGAUGAACGCUAGCUACAGGCUUAACACACGCAAGUCGAGGGCAGCAUGAAACUUAGCUUGCUAAGUUUGAUGGCGACCGGCGCACGGGUGAGUAACACGUAUCCAACUACCGUUUACUACGGGAUAGCCUUCUGAAAAGGAGAUUAAUACCGUAUGGUAUUCUAAAGUUUCAUGACAUUAGAAUAAAGGUUUACCGGUAAUCGAUGGGGAUGCGUUCCAUUAGAUAGUAGGCGGGGUAACGGCCCACCUAGUCAGCGAUGGAUAGGGGUUCUGAGAGGAAGGUCCCCCACAUUGGAACUGAGACACGGUCCAAACUCCUACGGGAGGCAGCAGUGAGGAAUAUUGGUCAAUGGGCGAGAGCCUGAACCAGCCAAGUUAAGCGUGAAGGAUGACUGCCCUAUGGGUUGUAAACUUCUUUUACAAAGGAAUAAAGUGGUCCACGUGUGGAUUUUUGUAUGUACUUUAUGAAUAAGGAUCGGCUAACUCCGUGCCAGCCGCAGC
rnacentral:rRNA from 1 species